rnacentral:pre_miRNA from 1 species
AAUAAGAUCAUUUUUUAGUUUUUUAUAUAAUGUAUUGAUUGUUCGUCUUAUUUAAAAUUUUUUUACGAUUAAUAUUUUUAUUCUUACUGGGUGAUAAAACAUAAAUAGUACUUUACGUGUGACUAAAUUUUUUAAGUUUUUGUAUAACUUUUUUAAAUAAGAUGAAUAGUCAAAUAUCGGACAUGGAAAAAAAUUAAUGUUAUUAUA